rnacentral:rRNA from 1 species
GUCCACGCCCUAAACGAUGUCGACUGGUUGUUGGGGUUUGACACUCUCGGUAACGAAGCUAACGCGUGAAGUCGACCGCCUGGGGAGUACGGCCGCAAGGUUAAACUCAAAGGAAUUGACGGGGACCCGCACAAGCGGUGGAUUAUGUGGAUUAAUUCGAUGCAACGCGAAAACCUUACCUACCCUUGACAUGUCCGGAAGGCUGCUGAAAGGCGGCUGUGCCCGAAAGGGAACUGGAACACAGGUGCUGCAUGGCUGUCGU